UCGAUAAAGUUUUGACAUUCAAAGUCCUGUGAAAACAUGGCGGCGCCCAUGAGAUGGAAAAGACUUGUGUUCUCUUCGCAUACUCCUGCAUUCUCCUGGGUUUUCACGAGGAUAACAGACCGAUUUUUCAGGACAUACGAUCGGAGGAGAGGGUCCGCUGUGCUGCUCUUGUCCCCUCUCCUGGCUGAGGCGGACUCAGCCCCCCUGGCCUCCUCCAGACCUCCAGGCUUCUCUGGUGCCGAUGGCCUUCACUCUCGCUUCCACUGGAUGGCUGAUCAUGUACCUGCUUUCAGGGUCCCUGGGGCCACAUACACAUCCUUCACUCACCUGAUGAAUUUUAUCAAGCUAUGAAGGCUCGCAUUAAGACAGCCAAGAGUCGUGUGGUGAUGGCAUCACUGUACCUGGGUACAGGACCACUAGAGCAAGACCUGGUUGAUUGCAUGGAAGAGGCAUUAGAGCGCUCACAGGAAGAUCAUGCACCUGAUCUCAAAGUGUCUUUUCUGCUGGAUUAUACCAGAGGCUCA